rnacentral:ncRNA from 1 species
UGAUAAGAUCCGUGGUCAAAAGGGAAACAGCCCAGACCAUCAGCUAAGGUCCCCAAGUGUGUGUUAAGUGGGAAAGGAUGUAGUGUUGCACAGACAACCAGGAUGUUGGCUUAGAAGCAGCCACCAUUGAAAGAGUGCGUAAUAGCUCACUGGUCGAGUGACACUGCGCCGAAAAUGUAACGGGGCUCAAACACACCACCGAAGCUAUGGAUGAUGCACUGAGUGCAUCGUGGUAGGGGAGCGUUCCAAGCGCAUCGAAGCGAUACCGUAAGGAGUCGUGGAGCACUUGGAAGUGAGAAUGCCGGUAUGAGUAACGAAAAGAUAUGUGAGAAUCAUAUCCGCCGAAAGCCGAAGGGUUCCUGAGGAAGGUUCGUCCUCUCAGGGUAAGUCGGGACCUAAGCCGAGGCCGAAAGGCGUAGGCGAUGGACAACUGGUUGAGAUUCCAGUACCACCUAUAAGCCGUUUGAGUGAUGGGGUGACGCAGGAGGAUAGGGAGAGCAGACUGAUGGAAUAGUCUGUCGAAGCGAGGUAGCGG